rnacentral:rRNA from 1 species
AGGGGGGCCAAGCCCCCUGGUGCCGAAGCAAACGCAUUAAGUAUUCCACCUGGGGAGUACGUUCGCAAGAAUGAAACUCAAAGGAAAUUGACGGGGACCCGCACAAGCGGUGGAGCAUGUGGUUUAAUUUGAAGCAACGCGAAGAACCUUACCAGGCCUUGACAUCCGGAUGGCGUAUGGGCAAUGCCAUAUUUCCUUCGGGACAUCCGAGACAGGUGGUGCAUGGUUGUCGUCAGCUCGUGUCGUGAGAUGUUGGGUUAAGUCCCGCAACGAGCGCAACCCCUGCCUUCUGUAGCCAGCACAUAAAGGUGGGCACUCUGGAGGGACAGCCGAGGAUAACUCGGAGGAAGGCGGGGAUGACGUCAAAUCAUCAUGCCCCUUAUGGCCAGGGCUACACACGUGCUACAAUGGCGCAAACAAAGGGAAGCAGAGCUGUGAGGCCGAGCAAAUCCCAAAAACAGCGUCCCAGUUCGGAUUGUAGUCUGCAACUCGACUACAUGAAGCCGGAAUAAGGGAGUAAUCGCGAAUCAGAAUGUCGCGGUGAA